GAGGCGGUAUCGACGGAUGAUCGAACUGCACUCUGCAUGUUUUUGUUUGAAGAACACCCUCAUAACUGCAAAUGGAAUAUUGCCGUUACGUUGGAUUCUGCUCUGAGCCGGAAGGACCGAGACAGAAGG
rfam:Paenibacillus rhizosphaerae strain FSL R5-0378 NODE_4_length_466004_cov_1.20472_ID_3964, whole genome shotgun sequence.